GAUGAACGCUGGCGGCGUGCCUAAUACAUGCAAGUCGAGCGAACAGAUGAGGAGCUUGCUCCUCUGACGUUAGCGGCGGACGGGUGAGUAACACGUGGAUAACCUACCUAUAAGACUGGGAUAACUUCGGGAAACCGGAGCUAAUACCGGAUAAUAUAUUGAACCGCAUGGUUCAAUAGUGAAAGACGGUUUUGCUGUCACUUAUAGCUGGAUCCGCGCCGCAUUAGCUAGUUGGUAAGUUAACGGCUUACCAAGGCAACGAUGCGUAGCCGACCUGAGAGGGUGAUCGGCCACACUGGAACUGAGACACGGUCCAGACUCCUACGGGAGGCAGCAGUAGGGAAUCUUCCGCAAUGGGCGAAAGCUUGACGGAGCAACGCCGCGUGAGUGAUGAAGGUCUUCGGAUCGUAAAACUCUGUUAUUAGGGAAGAACAAAUGUGUAAGUAACUAUGCACGUCUUGACGGUACCUAAUCAGAAAGCCACGGCUAACUACGUG
rnacentral:rRNA from 1 species